rnacentral:rRNA from 1 species
AGUGAACGCUGGCGGUAGGCCUAACACAUGCAAGUCGAACGGCAGCACAGUAAGAGCUUGCUCUUACGGGUGGCGAGUGGCGGACGGGUGAGGAAUACAUCGGAAUCUACUUUUUCGUGGGGGAUAACGUAGGGAAACUUACGCUAAUACCGCAUACGACCUACGGGUGAAAGCAGGGGAUCUUCGGACCUUGCGCGAUUGAAUGAGCCGAUGUCGGAUUAGUUAGUUGGCGGGGUAAAGGCCCACCAAGGCGACGAUCCGUAGCUGGUCUGAGAGGAUGAUCAGCCACACUGGAACUGAGACACGGUCCAGACUCCUACGGGAGGCAGCAGGGGGGAAUAUUGGACAAUGGGCGCAGGCCUGAUCCAGCCAGACCGCGUGGGUGAAGAAGGCCGUCGGGUGGUAAAGCCCUUUUGUUGGGAAAGAAAAGCAGCAGGUUAAUACCCCGCUGUUCUGACGGUACCCAAAGAAUAAGCACCGGCUAACUUCGUG